rnacentral:rRNA from 1 species
GGGGAAUAUUGCACAAUGGGCGAAAGCCUGAUGCAGCAACGCCGCGUGAGUGAUGAAGGCCUUCGGGUUGUAAAGCUCUGUCUUCUGGGACGAUAAUGACGGUACCAGAGGAGGAAGCCACGGCUAACUACGUGCCAGCAGCCGCGGUAAUACGUAGGUGGCAAGCGUUGUCCGGAUUUACUGGGCGUAAAGGAUGCGUAGGCGGAUGCUUAAGUCAGAUGUGAAAUUCCCGGGCUUAACUUGGGAACUGCAUUUGAAACUGGGUAUCUAGAGUGCGGGAGAGGAAAGUGGAAUUCCUAGUGUAGCGGUGAAAUGCGUAGAGAUUAUGAAGAACACCAGUGGCGAAGGCGACUUUCUGGACCGUAACUGACGCUGAGGCAUGAAAGCGUGGGGAGCAAACA